AGAACGAACGCUGGCGGCAUGCCUAAUACAUGCAAGUCGAACGAACUCUUCGGAGUUAGUGGCGCACGGGUGCGUAACGCGUGGGAAUCUGCCCUUGGGUUCGGAAUAACAGUUGGAAACGACUGCUAAUACCGGAUGAUGACGAAAGUCCAAAGAUUUAUCGCCCAGGGAUGAGCCCGCGUAGGAUUAGCUAGUUGGUGAGGUAAAGGCUCACCAAGGCGACGAUCCUUAGCUGGUCUGAGAGGAUGAUCAGCCACACUGGGACUGAGACACGGCCCAGACUCCGUACGGGAGCAGCAGUAGGGAAUAUGGACAAU
rnacentral:rRNA from 1 species